GUGCUUGCUUCAGCAGCACAUGUACUAAAAUUGGAACAACAUAGAAAAGAUUGGCAUGGCCUCUGUGCAAGAAUGACAUGCAAAUUUGUGAAGCGUUCCAUAUUUUU
ensembl:snRNA U6 U6 spliceosomal RNA